AUUGCCCUAGUAACGGCGAGUGAAGCGGCAACAGCUCAAAUUUGAAAUCUGGCUCUCUUGUAGAGUCCGAGUUGUAAUUUGCAGAGGGUGCUUUGGCGUUGGCAGCGGUCUAAGUUCCUUGGAACAGGACAUCACAGAGGGUGAGAAUCCCGUAUGUGGUCGCUAGCCCUCGCCGUGUAAAGCCCCUUCAACGAGUCGAGUUGUUUGGGAAUGCAGCUCUAAAUGGGAGGUAAAUUUCUUCUAAAGCUAAAUACUGGCCAGAGACCGAUAGCGCACAAGUAGAGUGAUCGAAAGAUGAAAAGCACUUUGGAAAGAGAGUCAAACAGCACGUGAAAUUGUUGAAAGGGAAGCGCUUGCCGCCAGACUUGCCUGCAGUUGCUCAUCCGGGCGUUUUGCCUGGUGCACUCUUCUGCGGGCAGGCCAGCAUCAGUUUGGGCAGCCGGAUAAGGGUCUCUGUCAUGUAUCUUUCUUCGGAAUGACCUUAUAGGGGAGGCGUAGUACGGUUAGCCUGGACUGAGGUCCGCGCAUCUGCUAGGAUGCUGGCGUAAUGGCUGCAAGCGGCCCGUCUUGAAACACGGACCAAGGAGUCUAACAUCUAUGCGAGUGUUUGGGUGUCAAGCCCGAGCGCGCAAUGAAAGUGAACGGAGGUGGGAACCCUCUUGGGGGCGCACCAUCGACCGAUCCUGAUGUCUUCGGAUGGAUUUGAGUAAGAGCAUAGCUGUUGGGACCCGAAAGAUGGUGAACUAUGCUUGAAUAGGGUGAAGCCAGAGGAAACUCUGGUGGAGGCUCGCAGCGGUUCUGACGUGCAAAUCGAUCGUCAAAUUUGGGCAUAGGGGCGAAAGACU
rnacentral:rRNA from 1 species